UUUCUCUAGAGUAUGGCUUUCUUAACCCAUAGAGAAUAGAACAAACUUUACAAAUGAAAUUUUGGACAAAUAUAAAUGAAAGCUUUCUAUCAGGUGACGUUAUUGACACUGGAUGGAUAGAUGAGUCUUGUUAUGACUCUACCUCAUGGUAGUUGUAUCUAUAUAUUUAGUUUUUCAAAAGUCUGAAGAAUCUUUACAACCAACAGUUUUAUUCAGACCAUUCUAUUGCAGCAUCAUUCUGUUCCAGUUAAAUAACUUUUUUGGUGGAUUUGGAUUGUCAUAUAGGAGAAAAAAACAGAUAAUCUAGUAUGGUUGUAUCAUAGAGUUCAUGAAGAGGAAUAGGAAUGAGAAAACUGGAAAAGCAGGAAGGAGCCAUAUUUUAAACAGGUUAUCUUAUUGCAACAAAGAAAUGAUCUCAGGAUCUCAAAGGAUAUCCUAUUUUCAACAAACUGAAAAGACUUUGAAUGACCCAAUGGCAGACUCUAUCAACAUCUGAAUAUUAGCCUAGAAAAAUGUGAAGCAUCUCAUCAACAGAAGUUUGAUUAUAUGGCUGAAAAUCAGGAGUGUAAAAUAUGACUGAAGACUCAAUGAAUGUCGAGAGAUUCAAAAGACUUUCUGCUCUCUCACUUUUGCAGACUCUACCUUACCCCUCAAGUAGAUACAGAGCACUGAUCAUCAAUGAGGAGAGAGGUCCUUACCAAUGGGAUUCUGGACUGUGAUCACAUUCAAGCUCCUGGGGAGUGCAGCUUAUGUUUAUAUUCCUAGCAUACUGACUGAUAAUUGGUAAAUGUCAGCUCAAUAAAUGUGCAUUGAUUGGUUCUGCA
rnacentral:lncRNA from 1 species